GGACGAGACGUGACCAAUGGUGGUCCAACGGGCCGUAACCCCGCCGCUCUUCGGAGCAUGGUGAGUUCGAUUCUCACCUCGUUCA
rnacentral:tRNA from 1 species